rnacentral:rRNA from 1 species
GACGAACGCUGGCGGCGUGCUUAACACAUGCCAGUCGAACGGAAAGGCCCUGCUUUUGUGGGGUGCUCGAGUGGCGAACGGGUGAGUAACACGUGAGUAACCUGCCCUUGACUUUGGGAUAACUUCAGGAAACUGGGGCUAAUACCGCAUAGGAGCUCCUGCUGCAUGGUGGGGGUUGGAUAGUUUCGGCGGUUGGGGAUGGACUGGCGGCUUAUCAGCUUGUUGGUGGGGUAGUGGCUUACCAAGGCUUUGACGGGUAGCCGUCCUGAGAGGGUGACCGGCCACAUUGCGACUGAGAUACGGCCCAGACUCGUACGGGAGGCAGCAGUGGGGAGUAUAGCAUAAGGGGCGGGAGGAUGAUGCAGCAACGCAGCGUGGGGGAUGACGGGCUUCGGGUUGUAAACCGAUUUCGCCUGUGACGAGGCGUGAGUGACGGUAAUGGGUAAAGAAGCACCGGCUAACUACGUG